rnacentral:rRNA from 1 species
UACAGAGGGGGCAAGCGUUAUUCGGAAUUAUUGGGCGUAAAGGGCGCGUAGGCGGCUUGGCAAGUGGAAGGUGAAAUCCCUCGGCUUAACCGAGGAACUGCCCUCCAAACUGCUUCGCUUGAGACCGGGAGAGGUGAGUGGAAUUCCCAGUGUAGCGGUGAAAUGCGUAGAUAUUGGGAGGAACACCGGUGGCGUAGGCGGCUACCUGGACCGGUUCUGACGCUGAUGCGCGAAAGCGUGGGUAGCAAACAGG